GACGAACGCUGGCGGCGUGCUUAACACAUGCAAGUCGAACGGUAAGGCCCUUUCGGGGGUACACGAGUGGCGAACGGGUGAGUAACACGUGGGUGAUCUGCCCUGCGCUUUGGGAUAAGCCUGGGAAACUGGGUCUAAUACCGGAUAGGACUACGCGAUGCAUGUCGUGUGGUGGAAAGCUUUUGCGGUGUGGGAUGGGCCCGCGGCCUAUCAGCUUGUUGGUGGGGUGAUGGCCUACCAAGGCGACGACGGGUAGCCGGCCUGAGAGGGUGUCCGGCCACACUGGGACUGAGAUACGGCCCAGACUCCUACGGGAGGCAGCAGUGGGGAAUAUUGCACAAUGGGCGCAAGCCUGAUGCAGCGACGCCGCGUGGGGGAUGACGGCCUUCGGGUUGUAAACCCCCUUCAGCACAGACGAAGCGUAAGUGACGGUAUGUGCAGAAGAAGCACCGGCCAACUACGUG
rnacentral:rRNA from 1 species